rnacentral:rRNA from 1 species
AACGAACGCUGGCGGCAUGCCUAACACAUGCAAGUCGAACGAGACCUUCGGGUCUAGUGGCGCACGGGUGCGUAACACGUGGGAAUCUGCCCUUCGGUUCGGAAUAACACAGAGAAAUUUGUGCUAAUACCGGAUGAUGACUUCGGUCCAAAGAUUUAUCGCCGAGGGAUGAGCCCGCGUAGGAUUAGGUAGUUGGUGGGUAAUGGCCUACCAAGCCGACGAUCCUUAGCUGGUCUGAGAGGAUGAUCAGCCACACUGGGACUGAGACACGGCCCAGACUCCUACGGGAGGCAGCAGUGGGGAAUAUUGGACAAUGGGCGCAAGCCUGAUCCAGCAAUGCCGCGUGAGUGAUGAAGGCCUUAGGGUUGUAAAGCUCUUUUACCAGGGAUGAUAAUGACAGUACCUGGAGAAUAAGCUCCGGCU